rnacentral:rRNA from 1 species
GACGAACGCUGGCGGCGUGCCUAAUACAUGCAAGUUGAGCGCUGAAGGUUGGUACUUGUACCAACUGGAUGAGCAGCGAACGGGUGAGUAACGCGUGGGGAAUCUGCCUUUGGGCGGGGGACAACAUUUGGAAACGAAUGCUAAUACCGCAUAAAAACUUUAAACACAAGUUUUAAGUUUGAAAGAUGCAAUUGCAUCACUCAAAGAUGAUCCCGCGUUGUAUUAGCUAGUUGGUGAGGUAAAGGCUCACCAAGGCGAUGAUACAUAGCCGACCUGAGAGGGUGAUCGGCCACAUUGGGACUGAGACACGGCCCAAACUCCUACGGGAGGCAGCAGUAGGGAAUCUUCGGAAAUGGACGAAAGUCUGACCGAGCAACGCCGCGUGAGUGAAGAAGGUUUUCGGAUCGUAAAACUCUGUUGGUAGAGAAGAACGUUGGUGAGAGUGGAAAGCUCAUCAAGUGACGGUAACUACCCAGAAAGGGACGGCUAACUACGUG